GCCAUCUCCGUACCCUCUUCACAAACGAAACGGCUCACAUCUCCUUCAACCCGGCAUUAAUUCUGACCUUUUCCCUUGUGUAAUCAACCCCUCUCUUUAAAAUUACUCUCAGCCUCUUCAUUUCCAUUGAAACCGCCGCACUCUUCUACUAUAAAUAUGAGCCCAAUUCAUCAACUUGAGGUUUCUGCUGAUGAAAAGAGAGUGAUUGGCAAUAUCCGUGGAGAGGCUUGAUCAGUCUAACGACAGAAUCAGAGAGAGUAGAAAAACAAAACGGUGGAGACAAAAUAUCUUGGUGUAUCAGUUAUUCAAGAUACGUGCCAGCACCGACAAACUCUCCUUCACUCGCAUAGCAAGGGUGCAUGACCAUAUACCUUACGUAUGUGAUUGUAGCUUCAUUGUGUGGAUGAGGAUGAGGUUUUCAAGUCUAUCACUUGCCCCCUUUGUUGUUCUUGGUGUGAUUUCCCACUUGCUGCAUAAAUGUCUAUAUGGUCCUCCUCCUUUGUACUACAACAGUUUCACCUUUUUUUUAAUCUUCUUCAAUGUGUUAAUGUCUCAAACUUUUUUCCUAGAAUGAAACUCUCUGUCUCCUUAACUACUCUCUGAUUCAGUUGCAUCUCUUGUGUUUCAAUAAAAAACAGUUGGGGAGAGAAAGUAUCAGCAACAAUAGACGCAGACAUAACUUUCAGAACAUAAAGCCAACAAUAAGAACAACAAAGGGAAAUGGGUCCACAGCAACAGAAUCGGAAGCAGCAUUGGUUGCUAAAAGACCUGACUCUGGUGGUUAACAAGGCUCUGUUAUACAUCUUCUCGCGGGUCCACAGCAACAGAAUCGGAAGCAGCAUUGGUUGCUAAAAGACCUGACUCUGGUGGUUAACAAGGCUCUGUUAUACAUCUUCUCGCCAACCAUUUUUUGCCAAGUUUGAUCCUUCACUGAAGAUAUAACAUUACAACGUUGAGAUCUCUCCAAACCAGAUCUCUCCAAACCCUUCAAAGGAAAUUGCUCGGAUGAUCAAACAAAAACUCGUGGAGACUAUGCAGGGUAGCUUCUCUGGUGCUGUCCCUUUUUUUAAUGGUAGGAAAACAUUUACAGCCCUGUGGAGUUUCAAGAAGAUAGGCUUGAGUUCUUUGCUAACCUCCCUAUCCCAUCCUGCAAUACUUUGAUCAAGUGUGGUGACUAGCAUGAGAAGCUACCGCAGAAGAAGAUUGUUAAAUGUUUAGGGUUAACAUGAAGCUUACAUGAACAUUGCAUUGAAGGCUUUAUUUAAGAAAACCACUUUCUAUGAACUAAGACAUUUUCCUUAAAACCAUGUCACUGCUUUUAUAAGUUAAUUUUGUCCAGCUACUCUAUUACUACUCGGUUAUCAAUGUCAAGAAAUAUUUUUAUUAUAA